rnacentral:misc_RNA from 1 species
UUUCCGUAGGUGAACCUGCGGAAGGAUCAUUACCUUUUUUCCAGCAUGGGAACCUGCAGUUCGCUGUAGUUCCCUGUCUGUAUCCAUGUCUUUUGCGCACUUGAACGUUUCCUCGGCGGCUUACCCCGUCGAAUGGACAACUAUAUAAACCUUUUUUGCAAUUGCAAUCAGCGUCUGAAUGAAUAUAUAAUAUUUACAACUUUCAACAACGGAUCUCUUGGUUCUG